UAUCUUCAUCCACACCAAAGCCUCGAGGAGUUCCGAUAUCACGGCUCUUGGUAUCCUGCAACAACCUGUUGGAAUUUUUUUUUUUUUAAGUGACAAUUUGAGGAAAUAAUGCCACGCCCCUGCUCAUUUCAUCAGAGCCUCUUGAGAAAUCACAGACCAGAAACAGAUCUCCGGUAGAAAUUUGAAUAAGUAAACGAGUGCUUAGAAAGUGGAUGCGGAAAAAUUGAAAUUCCGGGUGGUUGCUCCGCCAAAAUUAAAGAUGCCAUGAUUAGUAAAACUACCAGCCUAGUUUUAGCCGAUUUGUUAAGAAGUUGAAAAGCCAUUGCAGAUUUUAAAGCAGCGCAAUAUCUGUGAUCAGUUGGAGAACUCUUCCGUCAACAAGAUUCCAAAACGUUCUACCGUGGAUGUGAGUAUUCAUUCCAGCUUUUAUAGCGUCUCAGAAAUGCAACUCAAAAUGAAUGAUGGGUUACACAAAUUGUUAGUUAAUUAUAUGAUUACCGGAAAGCACGGUUUGGUGCCUCCUUAAACUUUUGUUCAUUACAUCCCUUGCGCUUGUAUCUGCAUUAGUCUACUAAAUGUGAAUGUUGUGGACCAUGAAUACAAAUUUAAAAUGAGGCGCACCGUUUAGUGAUUAUUUUGAUCGUGGACGUCAUUACGUACAUUGAAUGCGGACAAUUUUAUUGUACGGAUUCAAUGAAGAAAUUUCCAAACAACAUAAUUGUUUUUUAUAUGCUUGUACAGAACCAGUUAAAGGGUAAACGCAUAAAUACCGGUAA